AUGGGCACUAAGUCCCUGCACACGCUCCCACCCCGUGCACGCUCCCAUCCCAUGAACACUCAUAACCUACAGGUGCACUCGCACCCCCUACAUGCACUCACCCCCUGUGCACGCUCACACUGUGCACGCACACUCAGGCCCUGCRCACUUGGCACAUUCCCACCUUACACAUUCACAUCUUAUCCACAUGCUCCCGGCCUGCGUGUGCACUCGCUCCUYGUUUGCACUUUCACGCCUUGCACGUGCACUCAAGCCCUGCACACGCGCUCCCCCCUCGCGCUCCUCCUCGUGCCUCGCACGCGCACAGCCUGCAGGUGGACUCGCACAUGCGUGCACCAGCCCCCACGCCCCGGGGGUACCUUUGCCGCCCUUUGCACACCUCGGCUUGCCYGUGCGCCCCGCUGCAGGCGCGGACACACUCCCGCGCCCGGCACGCACCGGCAUGCUCCUGCCCCAGCCCUGCAAACGCCUCUGCUUCCUCCCUCCUCCUUCCCUCUCUGCUCAGCCCCCCCGUCCAUUCCUCCGUCCGUUCUCCUGACACCUUCCCUCRCUCCGUGCUGGGUGCCCGUCUCCUCCUGCUUUAUCUCUGGCUCCCAGCUGCUUCUUGCCCCUCCCCAUCCCUCUCUCCAUCCCUCCUUCUCUCCAUCCCUUGCUCCUGCAGCCUCUCUCCAUGGUUAUCGCUCCCUCGCACACAUCCCUGCUCACUCCCUCCCCAGCUUCGCUCAUCCUUUGCACUUCUCACAUGCUCCCCGAUUCCUUUUUAUCGCUCCCUCGCCUUCCCUCCGUCCUCCGCUUUCCCUCCUUUCUUUUCUCUCCCUCCCUCCAGCUCUUUCCCAGGUACCUUUUCCCACCCGGCAGCCCUGUCCGCCCGCCAGGGCCCAGCCGGGCUGGCCGAUGCCGGCGGCCGCCUCGCGCACCGGGCUGCGUGCCCACGGCCCCCGUCCCGGUGCCCCCGGCCCCGCGACGUGCUCGGGCACCUUUUCAUCUCCGCGGCGCCGCUUUCCCACCGCCGCGCCAGCCUUUAAAGUUUCAAUCACGGCUCGGCUGCGAGAGGCGGGGAAGGCUGCGUCUCCCGCUCCCAGCCCCGCGGAAGCUGCGCUGCCAUUCUGA
rnacentral:lncRNA from 1 species